UUGGAGGGCAAGUCUGGUGCCAGCAGCCGCGGUAAUUCCAGCUCCAAUAGCGUAUAUUAAAGUUGUUGCAGUUAAAAAGCUCGUAGUUGAAUUUCGGGGUCAGCAGGUUGGUCGUGCCACUGGUAUGCACUGGCUUCGCUGAUUCCUCCUUCUUGAAGAACUGUAAUGUCAUUAAUUUGGUGUUGCAGGGAAACAGGACUGUUACUUUGAAAAAAUUAGAGUGUUUAAAGCAGGCUUUGGCUUGAAUACAUUAGCAUGGAAUAAUGAAAUAGGACGUUCGAUCCUAUUUUGUUGGUUUCUAGGAUUGACGUAAUGAUUAAUAGGGAUAGUUGGGGGCAUUAGUAUUCAAUUGUCAGAGGUGAAAUUCUUGGAUUUAUUGAAGACUAACUACUGCGAAAGCAUUUGCCAAGGAUGUUUUCAUUAAUCAAGAACGAAAGUUAGGGGAUCGAAGAUGAUCAGAUACCGUCGUAGUCUUAACCAUAAACUAUGCCGACUAGGGAUCGGAUGAUGUUAAUUUUUUAAUGACUCAUUCGGCGCCUUACGGGAAAC
rnacentral:rRNA from 1 species